rnacentral:rRNA from 1 species
CCUACGGGCGGCAGCAGUGGGGAAUAUUGGACAAUGGGCGAAAGCCUGAUCCAGCCAUGCCGCGUGUGUGAAGAAGGCCUUCGGGUUGUAAAGCACUUUCAGUGGGGAAGAAAGCCUUGGGGCUAAUACCCUCGAGGAAGGACAUCACCCACAGAAGAAGCACCGGCUAACUCCGUGCUAGCAGCCGCGGUAAUACGGAGGGUGCGAGCGUUAAUCGGAAUUACUGGGCGUAAAGCGCGCGUAGGCGGUCUGAUAAGCCGGUUGUGAAAGCCCCGGGCUCAACCUGGGAACGGCAUCCGGAACUGUCAGGCUAGAGUGCAGGAGAGGAAGGUAGAAUUCCCGGUGUAGCGGUGAAAUGCGUAGAGAUCGGGAGGAAUACCAGUGGCGAAGGCGGCCUUCUGGACUGACACUGACGCUGAGGUGCGAAAGCGUGGGUAGCAAACAGGAUUAGAUACCCGUGUAGUC